GACGGACGCUGGCGGCGUGCUUAACACAUGCAAGUCGAACGGUGAACCACUUCGGUGGGGAUCAGUGGCGAACGGGUGAGUAACACGUGGGCAACCUGCCCUUAGCUCUGGGAUAACCCCGGGAAACGGGGCUAAUACCGGAUACGACCUCGAGCGGCAGUCACUCGAGGUGGAAAGAACUUCGGCUAAGGAUGGGCCCGCGGCCUAUCAGCUUGUUGGUGGGGUAAUGGCCUACCAAGGCGACGACGGGGUAGCCGGCCUGAGAGGGCGACCGGCCACACUGGGACUGAGACACGGCCCAGACUCCUACGGGAGGCAGCAGUGGGGAAUAUUGCGCAAUGGGCGAAAAGCCUGACGCAAGCGACGCCGCGUGAGGGACGAAGGCCUUCGGGUCG
rnacentral:rRNA from 1 species